GAAACCUGAGAAUUUGAUGAU
rnacentral:siRNA from 1 species